rnacentral:rRNA from 1 species
GUGGGGAAUAUUGGACAAUGGGCGCAAGCCUGAUCCAGCAAUGCCGCGUGGGUGAAGAAGGCCUUCGGGUUGUAAAGCCCUUUUGUACGGGAAGAAAUCAUACGGGUUAAUACCCUGUGUGGAUGACGGUACCGUAAGAAUAAGCACCGGCUAACUUCGUGCCAGCAGCCGCGGUAAUACGAAGGGUGCAAGCGUUAAUCGGAAUUACUGGGCGUAAAGCGUGCGUAGGUGGUUGUUCAAGUCUGUCGUGAAAGCCCUGGGCUCAACCUGGGAAUGGCGAUGGAAACUGGGCGACUGGAGUGCGGUAGAGGAUGGCGGAAUUCCCGGUGUAGCGGUGAAAUGCGUAGAGAUCGGGAGGAACAUCCGUGGCGAAGGCGGCCAUCUGGACCAGCACUGACACUGAGGCACGAAAGCGUGGGGAGCAAACAGGAUUAGAAACCCCGGUAGUCC